UCGUCUUCUUGUGGAUUAGGCUCGGGAACUCGGUCCUCCUGAUCUAAAAUGGUUAAAUAAGGAAUGAGCUACACUAGCCCAGUAAGGACAUCACACUAUAUCAUCGUCACAGAAGCAAAAAUUGGUAGAAAACUGAAAACAACCAAUGGAGAACAAAUUUUAAACCAAUUCAAUUAUUUAAAAUAAAACCACUUACCCUUUUUUUACCCUUGGAGCACUUGUGAAAACAACCUAUAAAGACAAUAAUAUCAUACAGAUCAUAAUUUCAUGCAUAAUCAGUAACAUAAAAUACAUCAUAAAUCUGUAUUCAUUAACAAUAACUGAUUAUCACCGUUUCUCGUUUUCAUCAGCAUACUAGUAUCCAUGGGGAUCCAUAGGGAUCCCCACUACACGUGAACCAUUCCCCUUAACAAUCUUAAUUCGAAGGCCAUCCCCAUAUCACGUCCGGUAUAAGCGCCAAAAUAAUAAAUCUC
rnacentral:lncRNA from 1 species